UCACGCAUGUGCGCGGUGAACUACUGAUGAUAUGUUAACUUUUCCAACUUUCUCGAAAAUAGACAACCCUCGUCUCUUUUUUUUGGGGCUCUCCUCCAUUGAAGCUCGCAUCUUUCCUCAUUGAAGCCCGCAACUCUCUCUCGGUCUCUCCUCUAGUGAAAAUCUCACGCUCUCUAUCCUUCUAUGAACCUUUCACUCGUUGCAUUCUCUCUCCUCCAUUGAAGUGUGAAUUCUCCAUGGUACUGUUCGUAGUCUAAAUCCUCCAUUGAAGUGACUUUUGAGCUUUUUCGUCCAUUGAAGUAGCUUUACGAGCUUUCUUUUCAUUUGAAGCAACAUUUGAGACCUUAACUUAAAGAAAACACCUCAAUUGGUUGAGCCAAUGAACAUCAGUGAGGUACGUACUCCCAUAUCCAUUCUUGAUUCCAAAGGAUACUUUAAUUUGAUUUACUGAUCAAGGUCCGUCAACUUUUAUUGUAGACUUAUUUCCACAUUUUAUAUUUUAGUUGUUAGCUAGCCACUAUGUUUGGUUAAAAUCAGAUAUAUCCAGAAAGUAGGAUGAGCUAGCAUUUUGCAAAAAUCAAACCUGGUGAUGUUGUAGAAGUGAAAGGACCCAUUGAGAAGCUUAGUUUACUCCCAUUAUGAAGAAACACAUCGGCAUGGUACACGAUGAACCACAAUGAGUAGAACAUGAAAAUUGACAUGAUUGUUGUGACACUCUUGAUCGAGGAUUGUCAGACUCGUACUUCUUAGUUUUGAGUUACUUUUUUUUACGGUAGUUUUAAAUUACUUAAUGACCUUGUUUAGGUAGAUAUAUUAGGAGAAUAUAUGAUGCAUUGUAAAGAAAUGUAUUUUGGCUUAGGAAUUAUUUCAAUGUAGCAUUAAUUGCAUAAUUAUACAAUAUAAUUAAAUUAAAUACUAUACUUUUU